rnacentral:rRNA from 1 species
GACGAACGCUGGCGGCGUGCUUAACACAUGCAAGUCGAACGGUGAAGGUGGAGCUUGCUCCGCCGGAUCAGUGGCGAACGGGUGAGUAACACGUGGGCAACCUGCCCCUCACUUCGGGAUAACUCCGGGAAACCGGGGCUAAUACCGGAUACGACCUCCUUGGGCAUCCUGGGAGGUGGAAAGUUUUUCGGUGAGGGAUGGGCCCGCGGCCUAUCAGCUUGUUGGUGAGGUAGUGGCUCACCAAGGCGACGACGGGUAGCCGGCCUGAGAGGGCGACCGGCCACACUGGGACUGAGACACGGCCCAGACUCCUACGGGAGGCAGCAGUGGGGAAUAUUGCGCAAUGGGCGAAAGCCUGACGCAGCAACGCCGCGCGCGGGAUGAAGGCCUUCGGGUUGUAAACCGCUUUCAGCAGGGAAGAAGCCGCAAGGUGACGGUACCUGCAGAAGAAGCACCGGCUAACUACGCGCCAGCCGCCGCCGUAA